AUUGAACGCUGGCGGCAUGCCUUACACAUGCAAGUCGAACGGCAUCGCGGGAAAGCUUGCUUUCCUGGCGGCGAGUGGCGAACGGGUGAGUAACACAUCGGAACGUACCGGCUAGUGGGGGAUAACCCGUCGAAAGACGGGCUAAUACCGCAUACGCUCUUCGGAGGAAACCAGGGGACCUUUGGGCCUUGCGCUAGCCGAGCGGCCGAUGUCCGAUUAGCUAGUUGGUGGGGUAAAGGCCUACCAAGGCGACGAUCGGUAGCGGGUCUGAGAGGACGAUCCGCCACACUGGGACUGAGACACGGCCCAGACUCCUACGGGAGGCAGCAGUGGGGAAUCUUGGACAAUGGGGGCAACCCUGACCCAGCAAUGCCGCGUGGGUGAAGAAGGCCUUCGGGUUGUAAAGCCCUUUCGGCAGGGAAGAAAUCGGCGGGGCGAAUAACCCUGCUGGAUGACGGUACCUGCAGAAGAAGCACCGGCUAACUACGU
rnacentral:rRNA from 1 species